rnacentral:miRNA from 1 species
UCUGCUGGUCGUUCCAUGUUAA